CCUACGGGAGGCAGCAGUGGGGAAUUUUGGACAAUGGGCGCAAGCCUGAUCCAGCUAUUCCGCGUGUGGGAAGACGGCCUUCGGGUUGUAAACCACUUUUGUAGAGAACGAAAAGUCUAUUGAUAAUACCGAUAGAUGAUGACGGUACUCUAAGAAUAAGCACCGGCUAACUACGUGCCAGCAGCCGCGGUAAUACGUAGGGUGCGAGCGUUAAUCGGAAUUACUGGGCGUAAAGGGUGUGCAGGAGGUUUUGCAAGAUGGAUGUGAAAGCCCCGGGCUUAACCUGGGAAAGCCAUACAUGACUGCAAGACUAGAGUGCGUCAGAGGGGGGUGGAAUUCCAAGUGUAGCAGUGAAAUGCGUAGAUAUUUGGAAGAACACCGAUGGCGAAGGCAGCCCCCUGGGACGCAACUGACGCUCAUACACGAAAGCGUGGGGAGCAAACAGGAUUAGAUACCCUUGUAGUC
rnacentral:rRNA from 1 species